rnacentral:rRNA from 1 species
AACGAACGCUGGCGGCGUGCCUAACACAUGCAAGUCGAGCGCGAAAGUCCCUUCGGGGGCGAGUAGAGCGGCGGACGGGUGAGUAAUACAUGGAUAAUCUGCCCUCGAGAUCGGGAUAACCCUGCGAAAGUGGGGCUAAUACCGAAUAAGACCACACAACACAAGUUGUGUGGUAAAAGGUGGCUUGAAUUUAUUCUGGCUAUCACUUGAGGAUGAGUCCAUGGCCUAUCAGCUUGUUGGUGGGGUAAUGGCCUACCAAGGCUAUGACAGGUAGCUGGUCUGAGAGGACGACCAGCCACACUGGGACUGAGACACGGCCCAGACUCCUACGGGAGGCAGCAGUGGGGAAUAUUGCACAAUGGGCGAAAGCCUGAUGCAGCGACGCCGCGUGAGGGAUGACGGCCUCGGUUGUAACCGUACUUCUAGCAGGAGAAGACGAAGUAGACGGUACCGUCGCGAGAAGAAGACACCGGACCGUAACGUACCGUUAGGCC